rnacentral:rRNA from 1 species
CCUACGGGAGGCAGCAGUGGGGAAUAUUGCACAAUGGGGGAAACCCUGAUGCAGCGACGCCGCGUGAGUGAAGAAGUAUUUCGGUAUGUAAAGCUCUGUCAGCAGGGAAGAAAAUGACGGUACCUGACCAAGAAGCCCCGGCUCACUACGUGCCAGCAGCCGCGGUAAUACGUAGGGGGCAAGCGUUCUCCGGGUGUAAUGGGGGUAAAGGGAGCGUAGACGGCAGGGCAAGUCUGGAGUGAAAGGCGGGGGCUCAACCCCCGGACUGCUCUGGAAACUGCCAGGCUGGAGUGCUGGAGAGGUAAGUGGAAUUCCUAGUGUAGCGGUGAAAUGCGUAGACAGUAGGAGGAACACCAGUGGCGAAGGCGGCUUACUGGACUGUAACUGACGUUGAGGCUCGAAAGCGUGGGGAGCAAACAGGAUUAGAUACCCGAGUAGUC